rnacentral:rRNA from 1 species
CGCCAUAAAUGCGACCCCAGGAUGGGCGGGAU